UGCCAGCCGCCGCGGUAAUACAGAGGGUGCAAGCGUUAAUCGGAAUUACUGGGCGUAAAGCGUACGUAGGUGGUUAGAUAAGUUAGGUGUGAAAUCCCUGGGCUCAACCUGGGAAUUGCGCUUAAAACUGUUUGGCUAGAGUUCUGUAGAGGAAAGUGGAAUUUCCGGUGUAGCGGUGAAAUGCGUAGAUAUCGGAAGGAACAUCAGUGGCGAAGGCGACUUUCUGGACAGAUACUGACACUGAGGUACGAAAGCGUGGGGAGCGAACAGGAUUAGAUA
rnacentral:rRNA from 1 species